rnacentral:rRNA from 1 species
UACGGAGGGUGCGAGCGUUGUUCGGAAUCACUGGGCUUAAAGGGCGCGUAGGCGGGUUCGUAAGUCUGUGGUGAAAGCCCCCAGCUUAACUGGGGAAGUGCCAUGGAUACUGCGAAUCUUGAGGAGGGUAGGGGCAUCUGGAACACUGGGUGGAGCGGUGAAAUGCGUUGAUAUCCAGUGGAACUCCGGUGGCGAAGGCGAGGUGCUGGACCCUUUCUGACGCUGAUGCGCGAAAGCCAGGGGAGCAAACGGG